rnacentral:lncRNA from 1 species
CUGCUUGCAGCGUAGCUGAAGGCUUCGAGGAGAUAAGCCUCUAAUCUCAUCAGAAUCGUUCGUGGGAGUCAGAAAUGAAGUCAUUGGUAAUCGAAUGAGACAGGGGAAAGAAUAUUGGUGUCGUCAACCUUCCUCUUGUGUUCCUUUUCUUCUUCCACCUUUUUGAGUCCUCAGAGCAAGUGGACAUUGGCAAGCCGACAGCGUGUGCUAUGGGGGGAAAGAGAGCCCAAGAGGACAGGAGAGGUGACGAGGUUCACCACCUCCUUCGUCCCACUGCUGUCUUCCCUCCACAUGGAUUUCAAAGUUUGCCUUGUUUGUUCUUUGGAAAGUGUAAUCCCAAGAGAAAAAUGCAGUGGUUGGGCUUUGGGAACUCAAAUUGGUCACCAACUACUUUGUUUGUUCAUAGCAUGUUAAUGCCC